rnacentral:rRNA from 1 species
AAUCAGUGUGUGUGUUAGUGGAAGCGUCUGGAAAGGCGUGCGAUACAGGGUGACAGCCCCGUACACAAAAAUGCACAUAUUGUGAGCUCGAUGAGUAGGGCGGGACACGUGGUAUCCUGUCUGAAUAUGGGGGGACCAUCCUCCAAGGCUAAAUACUCCUGACUGACCGAUAGUGAACCAGUACCGUGAGGGAAAGGCGAAAAGAACCCCGGCGAGGGGAGUGAAAAAGAACCUGAAACCGUGUACGUACAAGCAGUGGGAGCACGCUUAGGCGUGUGACUGCGUACCUUUUGUAUAAUGGGUCAGCGACUUAUAUUCUGUAGCAAGGUUAACCGAAUAGGGGAGCCGAAGGGAAACCGAGUCUUAACUGGGCGUUAAGUUGCAGGGUAUAGACCCGAAACCCGGUGAUCUAGCCAUGGGCAGGUUGAAGGUUGGGUAACACUAACUGGAGGACCGAACCGACUAAUGUUGAAAAAUUAGCGGAUGACUUGUGGCUGGGGGUGAAAGGCCAAUCAAACCGGGAGAUAGCUGGUUCUCCCCGAAAGCUAUUUAGGUAGCGCCUCGUGAAUUCAUCUCCGGGGGUAGAGCACUGUUUCGGCAAGGGGGUCAUCCCGACUUACCAACCCGAUGCAAACUGCGAAUACCGGAGAAUGUUAUCACGGGAGACACACGGCGGGUGCUAACGUCCGUCGUGAAGAGGGAAACAACCCAGACCGCCAGCUAAGGUCCCAAAGUCAUGGUUAAGUGGGAAACGAUGUGGGAAGGCCCAGACAGCCAGGAUGUUGGCUUAGAAGCAGCCAUCAUUUAAAGAAAGCGUAAUAGCUCACUGGUCGAGUCGGCCUGCGCGGAAGAUGUAACGGGGCUAAACCAUGCACCGAAGCUGCGGCAGCGACGCUGAUGCGUUGUUGGGUAGGGGAGCGUUCUGUAAG